UCUGAAAAGACCCAACCAACUACAAACAUGUUUCUUCUACAGUGUUUUUCCUGGAAAAAGAAGACAACAGACAAAACUGUUGUGGCAGAUGAGAAGAAGCUUAAAAACUCUCAGAAAUGCCAAACCAAGUCAGACACCCAACAUCCAAAGGCCAAGAAGAAGACGUCAAAACCAAGAUGGAUUUGGCCUUUUUGUUGUUUCAGAAGGAAUCAUCGCGUCUCUCCGGCUGAGAGCACCGAUUUCUUGAUUACUAACAAAGUAACAGAGAUAACAAAGUAAG